CGAGACGGGGAAGGCACGGAAGGAACACUGGAGACGGAGAAGAACACAAUCGGGGUCAGAUGCGGGUCGUAGGAUAGUUACUUUCAUAUCACAAAACCUGGAAGUACGAGAGUCGGCCGAGUUCCCAAGAGGCGAGCACGGCUAUCGGUGACCCCAGCCGACUACAACCCCUGCACAUCUAUGGGUAGCAGACGAGGAGAUUUUGAAAAAGGUGUACAAGAAGUAGUACAGUUUCUUCCCACAUCCGUUCUUGCUCUCAACUGUGAGCGUAACUGUGAAGAAUGCCAGAAGUGACUUCCUGAGGGCCCCUCGGACAGAUCAAGGCUGGGAAAACAGAUCGAAGCCGCAUGGCAGGCUUCGGACAGCGCCACCGUCGUGGUCCAAGGUCACUCGCGCCAUGUGGUCAUAAAACAAAGGAUAAAGAAAAGGGAAGGGGGGAGGGGUUGGCCAAAGCCACCCCGUAGCUGAAGAGAUGUUAGCUAAGAAGAGCAGAGAGUCAAGAGAGCGUGAGAAGGAUUGAGGCUUUUUCUGUGCCAACUGAUGUGGGGGAAAAAGACCCACACACACAGUCCUGGAGUCUCUAGAUCAAGUUGAGAGUUCUCACUUUUCAUUUUAAAUAUUAAUUAAGCUAGGUAUUGUUAGUCCAUCAGUGAGUCAGCCCUUACCCUCCAUGACCGAUUUAUUGACCGCGCACGUCAGUAUGAAUAAUUAACCCACAAUGCAUUGCGCGUUUAAAAUGCAGCCCUACGGGGGGCACAAGCCAGUGCAAACUGUAUGCCGGUCCCAAGCCCGGUAAAAUGCAGAGGGUUGCAUCAGGAAGGGCAACCGGCAUAAAACUUUGCCAAACAAAUCUGGGCCUUCAUCUAAAGAAUUCCAUACCGGAUCGGUCGUGGCCCAGGUUAACAACGUCCGCCCCCGGGACCGUUAACCUGCAGGGCGCCGGUGGAAAUUCAGCGACUGUGGGUCAAAGACAAAGGAGAGGUGGAAAGCGGGUUUUUAGGUAGAAAGAGAAGAGGAAAGCACAGACCCUAAAAUUGAAUGUGGGGACUUUGAAUUUUGGGACUAUGACAGGAAAUUCUCGGGAGUUGGUUGACAUGAUGAUUAGGAGAAAGGUUGAUAUAUUGUGUGUCCACGAGACCGGGUGGAAAGGCAGUAAGACUAGAAGUUUAGGGGCAGGGUUUACAUUAUUUUACCAUGGUGUAGAUGGGAAGAGAAAUGGAGUAUGGGUUAUUUUAAAGGAAGAGUUAGCUAAGAAUGUCUUGGAGGUGAAAAGAGUCUCAGAUCAAGUGAUGAGGCUGAAACUUGAAAUUGAGGGUGUUAUGUAUAACGUGAUUAGCGGCUAUGCCCCACAGGUAGGAUGUGACCUAGAGGUGAAAGAGAAAUUCUGGAAGGAGCUAGACAAAGUAGUUCUGAGCGUUCCAGACAGAGAGAUAGUCGUGAUUCGUGAAGAUUGUGAUGGACAUGUUGGUGAAGGAAACAGGGGUGAUGCAGAAGUAAUGGGUAAGUACGAUAUCCGGGAGAGGAACUUGGAGGGACAGAUGGUGGUAGACUUUCCAAAAAGGAUGUAAAUGGCUGAAGUGAACACUUUUUUCCAGAAGAGGCAGGAACAUAUGGUGACCUACAAGAGUGGAGGUAGAAGCACGCAGGUGGAUUACAUCUUGUGCAGACGAUGUAAUCCGAAGGAGAUUACCGACUGUAAGGUAGUGGUAGGGGAGAGUGUGGGUUGACAGCAUAUGAUGGUGGUGUGUAAGAUGACUCCGGUGGUGGGGAGGAAGAUUAAGAAGACAAAGGCAAAGCAGAGAACCAUGUGGUGGAAGCAUAGAAAGGAAGAGUGUUGUGUGGCUUUUCGGGAAGAGGUGACAGGAGCAGCUUCCAGAAGACUGGACCACUACAGCCCAGGUGAUCAGAGAGACAGGCAGAAGAGUACUUGGUGUAUCUUCUGACAGGAAAGGAGAGAAGGAGACUUAAUGGUGGAACCUCAAAGUACAGGAAAUCAUACAAGUAAAGAGGUUAGCUAAGAAGAAGUGGGACACAGAGAGGACCGAGGAGAGGAGAAAGGAAUACAUUGCGAUGCGACAUAGGGCGUAGGUGGCAAAGGCCAAACAAGAGGCAUAUGAUGGCAAGUAUGCUAGGUUGGAUUCUAGAGAAGGAGAAAAGGAUCAUACAGGUUGGCCUGACAGAGGGAUAGAGAUGGGAAGGAUGUGCAGCAGGUUAGGGUGAUGGAAAUAUGCUGACUGGUGCCAGUAUUGUGCUGGAUAAAUGGAAAGAAUACUUUCAGGAGUUGAUGAAUGAGGAAAAUGAGAGAGAAGGAAGAGUAGAAGAGGCAAGUGUGGUGGACCAGGAAGUGCAAUGAUUAGUAAGGGGGAAGUUAGAAAGGCACUAAAGAGGAUGAAAAAUGGAAAGGCAGUUGGUCCCGAUGACAUUCCUGUGGAGGUAUGGAAGCAUCUAGGAGAGGUGGCUGUGGAGUUUUUGACCAGCUUGUUCAAUGGAAUUCUUGCGGGUGAGAAGAUGCCUGAGGAAUGGAGGAAAAGGGUGCUGGUGCCCAUUUUUAAGAACAAGGGUGAUGUGCAGAGCUGUGACAACUAUAGAGGAAUAAACUUGAUGAGCCACAUAAUGAAGUUACGGGAAAGAGUAGUGGAGGCUAGAUUCAGGAAAGAAGUGAGUAUUUGCGAGCAACAGUAUGGUUUCAUGCCUAGAAAGAGUACCACAGAUGCAUUAUUUGCCUUGAGGAUGUUGUUGGAAAAGUACAGAGAAGGUCAGAAGGAGCUACAUUGUCUUUGUAGAUCUAGAGAAAGCCUAUGACAGAGUACCCAGCGAGGAACUGUGGUACUGCAUGCGGAAGUCUGGAGUGGCAUAGAACUAUGUUAGAAUAAUGCAGGACAUGUACGAGGGCAGCCGAACAGUGGUGAGGUGUGCUGUGGGUGUGACAGAGGAGUUUAAGGUGGAGGUGGGACUGCAUCAGGGAUCAGCCCUGAGCAAUUCCUGUUUGCAUUGGUGAUGGAAAGGCUGACAGAUGAGGUUAGACUGGAAUCCCCGUGGACCAUGAUAUUUGCAGAUGACAUUGUGAUCUGCAGUGAAAGCAGGGAGCAGCUGGAGGAACAGUUAGAAAGAUGGAGGCAUGCACUGGAAAGGAGAGGAAUUAAGAUUAGCCAAGAUUAGAUUAGUAAAGCAGACUACAUGUGCAUGAAUGAGAGGGGUCUAGGGGAAAGAGUGAGCCUACAGGGAGAAGAGAUAGCGAGGGUGGAGGACUUUAAAUACUUGGGGUCAACCGUCCAGAACAAUGGUGAGUGUGGUCAGGAAGUGAAGUGCAAGCAGGUUGGAAAGGGUGGAGGAAGGUGUCAGGUGUGUUAUGUGACAGAAGAGUCUCUGCUAGGAUGAAGGCCAAAGUUUAUAAAACAGUGGUGAGGCCAGCCAUGAUGUACGGAUUAGAGAAAGUGGCACUGAAGAGACAAAUGAAGAUGUUGAGGUUCGCUCUCGGAGUGACCAGGUUGGAUAAAAUUAGAAAUUGGCUCAUCAGAGGGUCAGCCAAAGUUAGAUGUUUUGGAGACAAAGUUAGAGAGAGCAGACUUCGAUGGUUUGGACACGUCCAGAGGAGAGAUAGUGAGUAGAUUGGUAGAAGGAUGAUGAAGAUGGAGCUGCCAGGGAAGAGAGCUAGAGGAAGACCAAAGAGAAGGUUGAUGGAUGUCGUGAGGGAAGACAUGAGGGCAGUUGGUGUUCGAGAGGAGGAUGCAGGCGAUAGGCUUACAUGGAAAAGGAUGACGCGCUGUGGCGACCCCUAAAGGGACGAGCCCAAAGGAAAAGAAGAAGAAUGCAUUGCACGUUUAAUGCCAGUAAAACUGUAUUCUUAAUGUGUAAAUAAAAACUCGGGAAAAUAACAAAAAUAGCGUGGCGAUAGGGAAAUCGUGUAUUUCUUUGCACUUUUAUGUUUCUGCACCAUCAUUGUGCAUUGUGAAAUAAACAAUCACUUCCCAAUCGCUUUCUUCUAUUUGUUGAAAAAAAGAGUGGUCUUGGUUUAAUGCUUCUGCACAUCCGAACUGCUUUUUGCUCGAAAAACCAGCUUCAAAUUAGUAUUUGGUGAGAGUCAAUGAUCCAAAAGUAACUAUUGUUGGUUUGAAGAAGUAACUGUAGUCUUGGAAAAAUAAUGCGUUACUUUGCUUGUUACUCAAAAUGGCGGUUUUUGGGAGUAACGCAUUACUUGCAAUGCGUUACUGGCAUCAUUGUUUAUUAUUGAUUAAAUACAAUCUAUUAAUGGGAAAGAAAUACUUGUGUUUUUAAUGUGAAUCAAUCAUGUUUAUUGGGAAGAAUGUGAAACAAACGGUGUUGAUCAUUUGCAUAUAGUUACAUCACUUCCUGUCAAAGUACUGUCGAAGUAUGAAAUGUCAAGUGUUGAGUGUAGCUGACUGGUUUCAAACUUGGCCUAGCAUUUGGUGCCUGCAAGGAAAUAUGGGAGAAUUCAUCCACUUUGAGAAACCCAUUUUCAGACAAUAGGUGCACAAUGCUCAAUAACAGGCCCAGUUGGAUCACCUGCGGUUUAAGGGACAUGACCCGAAAAUGCAACAACCGUGUUGAAAGACCCCGCCGUAGAUGCCCAAACCUCCAAAGGCAUUGAAGUGGGGGGAAAAGUUGGACAGUUGUACUGGCGCCCCAAGCGCAGGGGGCCCCCUGGGCAUUUGUAAAUAUUUGAAGAUUUUUCUUUUAUUUAAAUAUUUCGAUAAUAAUCAAAAGAAAAAAUGUCAUAAGUGUUGUAGCGGACACGCUAUGAAAAGAUAGCACCCCAGUCUCCGGCGAGACUCGCUCUUCCCACCGAGAUAGACAACCACGGAGUGGCGAGAAGUAACUUCACAUACAGACGCUAAAUGAAUCAACAGCCAUAAUCAACAGAAGCAAGACACAGACAUUUGCUUUGGCAUGCCUACGCUAAGUGAAUUACCAGCACCCGGAGCUUCAAAGCGGAGACCAGAGAUACCAAGUUCCCUCUAGGACGCGAAGUUAAUUAACUUCCACCGACAGCCAGCCCGGAGGAUUUCACCAACAAAGGCGCCUCCACGCUGUUGGGUACCGCGCCACUUGGGAGUUUGAACAGGCAACAGCGACACCCACAGGCGACGGAAUGGCACUACAGAGACGGGUUCAGGAAACAGUCUGUACCAGACUUAGCUGGGAGUUAAUAUUUGAAGAACUUGACAUGAACACUGUAUUGCUGCAAACUUCAA